rnacentral:rRNA from 1 species
AUUGAACGCUGGCGGAAUGCUUUACACAUGCAAGUCGAACGGCAGCACGGGUGCUUGCACCUGGUGGCGAGUGGCGAACGGGUGAGUAAUACAUCGGAACGUACCUUAUCGUGGGGGAUAACGCAGCGAAAGCUGUGCUAAUACCGCAUACGCCCUGAGGGGGAAAGCGGGGGAUCGAAAGACCUCGCGCGAUUAGAGCGGCCGAUGCCUGAUUAGCUUGUUGGUGGGGUAAAAGCCCACCAAGGCGACGAUCAGUAGCUGGUCUGAGAGGACGAUCAGCCACACUGGGACUGAGACACGGCCCAGACUCCUACGGGAGGCAGCAGUGGGGAAUUUUGGACAAUGGGGGCAACCCUGAUCCAGCAAUGCCGCGUGAGUGAAGAAGGCCUUCGGGUUGUAAAGCUCUUUUGUCAGGGAAGAAACACCGGCUCUAACACAGUCCGGGAAUGACGGUACCUGAAGAAUAAGCACCGGCUAACUACGUGCCAGCCGCCGCGGUAA